UACGGAGGGGGCUAGCGUUGUUCGGAAUUACUGGGCGUAAAGCGCACGUAGGCGGCUUUGUAAGUUAGAGGUGAAAGCCCCGGGCUCAACCUGGGAAUUGCAUUCGAGACUGCUCUGCUAGGGUGCGGAAGAGGGGAGCGGAAUUUCCGGUGUAGCGGUGAAAUGCGUAGAUAUCGGAAGGAACACCAGUGGCGAAAGCGGCUCCCUGGUCCAGCACCGACGUCCAGGCACGAAAGCGUGGGGAGCAAACAGG
rnacentral:rRNA from 1 species